UAGCAACUGUCCUCCUCGCACUGUCGGCAACCAACCAAAAUUAUUUUUUUCUUAGCAGCCACCACCAGUGUCGUCCUCCACUAGUAGCCAUUAACAUCAACAACCACAAGUCGACAUCCAGUGCACAAAAAAACCACCUUAAAGCUUCUACUACCAACCUCUCCUCACAGCAAAGCAUCGACCGACAGCCUCUCUUCCCAGCAGCCACAUCCAUUGCUGUCAGGUCUUCCUCUCUCCAGUAACAGUUUUUUAUAUAUAUAUAAAAAAAACGACCAGCCUCCUCUCGCUUUCACAUGACCAAAGAACCUGAAUCAUUCAGCCCACAAACAGCAACCCAACACAAACCCAAACCGUUCUCUCACCAAAACCUCCCAAUGACAACCAUAAAAGUUUGUUCUUAGAAAAACAAUCUUCCACUAAGCAGUAGCUAGCUAGGAGUGUAGCAGUCCCAGCCAGAUAUGCAAGCUUACGAACCAGACUAAACCUGCCAGUGUACUUGAAGCAACACUCCUACCAAGAAGCCUGAAGUCUUUUUCAUAAACACGGGUUGAGAAAUCCAACAAUUUAUAAAUCAGAAUGGUUUCCAGCCCUAGUUUUGACACUGCAUCCCUAGGACCAUUUGACAACGAUCAGACAGCCCUCUUGGAUACCCGUGAAAAGCGGUCCUGAAAACUUCAAAUGACAGCCUCGUGUUGCCAAGGCUCUAUCAAUAUGUCUCAUCAAUUUACCAUGAAAUCUUGUAUAUUGAUGGCCAUUUAGGGGGUACUCCAAUAUAGAUUACAAGCAAAAUGGAUCUCCUGAAAUCCUUAUAGCCAAUUUCAUUCAAAUACCUACUGUUUCUUUCUUGACGAUGCAACGUUUCAUUAAAAUCCUCAUUAAUAAAAAAAAAAUGGGGUCCCAAAAUCAGCUUGUAAAAUAAGAAGUUUCUCCCAUUUCAUUGACCAGACUGCCCGCAUAAACUCCUAUAAGUGCACAAUUAAAACUCUUCUGAAUGUGCAUUCCAAGUAGUGUUGUCCAUUGCCCACUAUAUUUAAUUAACUGAACCUUAAGUUUACUUUCAUCCCACUUUACCAAAAUCCCUCCCGCAUUAUUUACUGAAUCUACCAUAAACCAGUGAGCUAUAGGUUCAUGCAAAUCUAUCGCAGCAUAUUGACCUCUUGAGCUACAUUCUAAUCUGCAAUCUCCCUACCCACCUGUCUUCUAAUGUCUGCUGCCAAAACUGUCAAGUCCUUCAGAUUCCCAAAACCCAAAGCAUGCCUCGCAUUGAACAUCCCCUACACUUCAUCUUCAUUAAUAUAUUCUGCAGUUACAGCAGAACUAUAAUUUUGAAUGUAACGAAGAUUCGCUUGUCUGAUUUCAAAGUCUAAUGAAUCUGGUGAUUCCACCUCACGUUCAUCCCCCACCUGCUGAACACUGCCAUUGGAAAAGAAGAGCUUCACCUUGUGUUUCCUUCAUUUAAUAACCAUAGGAUGGAAGCUGAAUUGAUUGUUUGAGUUCAAUCAGUUCCUAAUUCACAGCGUUUUUGUUACACAUUCUAGUUUCAUCUCUUUUCACACUGACAACCUUAAUUUGGAGUUCCAUCACUACUCAACUUUGUUUUAUCAGCUUCUCCUCUUGCCACACUGACAGCCUUUUGAGGACCAUCACUACUGGACUGUGUUUCAUCAUCUUCUUCCUCCAGCAUGAGGUUAAAGGCCUUCAAGUUGUACUCAUUAGCUUCAAAGACUGGAAAAUGCAGAGGAUCAAGCUCUUGUAUAGUAACAUGAUAAUCAGUUCCUCUCAGCUUACGAUUUCUGACUCCUUAAUGAAUUGGCUUUGUCUUGUUCCAAAUGUUAAUAUGACCAAGAAUGCUGUAUUGAAAACUGAUUUUGUCAAUAACUCUGCCAUAUGUUAACAGAUUCUUGUUGAUGCUA